GCAUAUAACUAAAUGUAUAAGCUCUUUGAUUUUUUUUUUAUUAGCAAAAUAAAAUUUUAUUAAUAUGAUUAAAAACUAAGAAAAACUUAACAUGAUACAUUUAUUAAAAUUACACAAACAAGCUUUCUGAAUCUCAAAAUUACACGUACAAGCUUUCUGAUGUGUGGCUACUUCAAGGGCACUUCAAACACGCAAUCGAUACUUUGGCACCGCAACCAAAUGGUUAGCUCUAGGCACCGAGAGGCCAAAUAUCUCACUCAUGUCCAACUCAUUAGGCAACACACCAUCUGGGAGCUCCCAGUUAAAACAAUGCACUAAUUGAGCCAAAACAAAUCGAGUGAUGGUUAAUCCCAGUUGCAUUCCAGGGCAUCCUCUGCGCCCAGAACCAAAUGGGAGAAGCUGAAAAUCGUGUCCUCGAAGGUCUAUACUUGUAUCAGCAAACCUUUCUGGCAAAAAUUCUUCUGCAUUAUCCGACCAGGCAUUAGGAUCUCGUCCAAUUGCCCAAGCAUUCACUAUAAUUCUUGUAUUCUUCGGUAUAUGAUACCCAUCAAUUAUUGUCUCCUCCAUGCAGUUACGAGGAAGUAGCAGUGGCCCGACAGGAUAUAACCUCAAGCUUUCUUUUAUAACCAUAUCUAAAUAUGGAAGAUUGAACAAAUCUUUCUCCUCCACUAUUUUAUCCAAUCCAAAAACAGUCUGCAACUCAUCUUGUAGACGUUUCAUUGCAGCAGGAUGUCUGAGGAGUUCUGAGAGUGUCCACUCAAUGCUAGUGGCCGAAGUGUCAAAUGAAGCUACGAUCAUGUCUAUUAAGAUAGCUUUCAUGUUGGUUCUAUCGAGCGUGUAAAGUACCUCUUCAUUGGAUGUCAUGGGUUGGUUCAUCAAAGAAAGUAACAAAUCAACGAAAUCCUUCAUUUGCUGCUUCUUUUUCCAUCGAGCUUCCCUUUCAUGUUCACAGAUUAUCUUCUCCAAGAUUGUGUCCAUUGCCUUGCUAAAUGACUUCAUACGUUUUGUCAAUCCCUGAAGAUCAAAUGCUCCUAAAAAAGGAACAUAGUCAGCAAUAUUGAAAGCUCCUGCCAAGUUCAAAACCUCCUUAGCCAGCGGCUUUAAAUCAAAUUCACUAGUUUUAGCUUCCCCAAAAAUCAUCCUGCAAGUCAUGUUCUGAAUCAGGUCUCCCACAGUUAAACUAAUAUCCACAACCUCACGCGCCGCCGCAGCUUUCUUCAGCGAAUCAACCAGCAACCCCACCUCCUCCCUCCUCAUCGGAGCAAAGUACUCAAUUUUCGACGCAGAAAGAAGUUGUAAAGUGCACAAUUUCCUGACGCUGCGCCAGUAAGGGCCAUACUCCGAAAAAGCCACGCCCUUGUUGCCAUAGGACAUGUAAAGGGAAGCUUGUAACAUGGGACGGCUAGCGAAUAAUAAGUCGUGGGUCUUGAGAAAUAGCUCGGCAGCUUGUGGUGAUGAUACAACAAUGGCGGGUACAGAGCCUAGCCUCAUGGACAUGAUAGGUCCAUACUUUUUGGCUAACUGAUGAAGGGAUCGAUGGGGGAGUUUGCCUAGCAUGUGGAGGUUACCGAUGAUUGGUAAGGCUGGGGGUCCAGGAGGUAGCUGCGGGUCAUUUUUUCGUUGUCUCCGUGGCCGGAAUGAGGCGGCGCAUAGACUGCAAAUGAAUGAUCCCAGCAGAAUCACUAGUAUGGCUAAGAUGAAAGGAGACAUUACGGGCAGCGUGUUGAGUAUAGGCUGGGAGACAAG
rnacentral:misc_RNA from 1 species